GACGUAGGGUGCGAGCGUUAAUCGGAAUUACUGGGCGUAAAGCGUGCGCAGGCGGUUUGUUAAGCCAGAUGUGAAAGCCCCGGGCUCAACCUGGGAACUGCGUUUGGUACUGGCAAGCUAGAGUGUGUCAGAGGAUGGUGGAAUUCCCGGUGUAGCGGUGAAAUGCGUAGAGAUCGGGAGGAACAUCAGUGGCGAAGGCGGCCAUCUGGGACAACACUGACGCUGAAGCACGAAAGCGUGGGGAGCAAACAGG
rnacentral:rRNA from 1 species